rnacentral:tRNA from 1 species
GCGGACGUAGUUCAAUGGCAGAACUUCAGCUUCCCAAGCUGAUAGCGCGGGUUCGAUUCCCGUCGUCCGCUCCA